rnacentral:rRNA from 1 species
AACGAACGCUGGCGGCAUGCCUAACACAUGCAAGUCGAACGAGACCUUCGGGUCUAGUGGCGCACGGGUGCGUAACGCGUGGGAACCUGCCCUUAGGUUCGGAAUAACUCCCCGAAAGGGGUGCUAAUACCGGAUAAUGUCUUCGGACCAAAGAUUUAUCGCCUUUGGAUGGGCCCGAGUUGGAUUAGCUAGUUGGUAGGGUAAAAGCCUACCAAGGCGACGAUCCAUAGCUGGUCUGAGAGGAUGAUCAGCCACACUGGGACUGAGACACGGCCCAGACUCCUACGGGAGGCAGCAGUGGGGAAUAUUGGAAAAUGGGCGAAAGCAUGAUCCAGCAAUGCCGCGUGAGUGAUGAAGGCCUUAGGGUUGUAAAGCUCUUUUACCCGGGAUGAUAAUGACAGUACCGGGAGAAUAAGCGCCGGCUAACUCCGUG